rnacentral:rRNA from 1 species
GAUGAACGUUGGCGGCGUGCCUAAUACAUGCAAGUCGAACGCAUUGUGGUUGAAAUGAUAUGAAGAACUUGUUCAGAUUUGAUUUUCAACAUUGCAAUGAGUGGCGAACGGGUGAGUAACACGUGGGAAACCUACCUCUUAGCAGGGGAUAACAUUUGGAAACAAAUGCUAAUACCGUAUAAUAAUUAAAACCGCAUGGUUUUAGUUUAAAAGAUGGUCUUGCUAUCACUAAGAGAUGGUCCCGCGGUGUAUUAGUUAGUUGGUGAGGUAAUGGCUCACCAAGACAAUGAUACAUAGCCGAGUUGAGAGACUGACCGGCCACAAUGGGACUGAGACACGGCCCAUACUCCUACGGGAGGCAGCAGUAGGGAAUCUUCCACAAUGGACGAAAGUCUGAUGGAGCAACGCCGCGUGUGUGAUGAAGGGUUUCGGCUCGUAAAACACUGUUGUAAGAGAAGAAUGACAUUGAGAGUAACUGUUCAAUGUGUGACGGUAUCUU